CCCUGCCCACCCAGCCCCCCACACAGGGCAGUCGCUGCUCAGGAAGUCUCCCGUGUGAUGAUCUGGGGAGGCCAGCCUUGACUUGUCAGCCCGGCCUCCCCAUCCCCCGCCCCCAGGUCCUGUCUGUUUCCCUGCGUACCCCAGGCCUUGUCUCCCAAGCCACCCCUUGCCCUCAGCCCAGGCUUCUGGGCCAGUAUUAUCUCCUCAGAUGGAGGCAGCUGUGACCCAAAGUACAGGCAGGGGACUGGGACUCGGAAAAGGUCUGGAACCACUCGGCGUGUGCUGAGCUCCAGCCUCUUCAGACUGCUCCCCACUUGGGAUUUGGGAGCGCAGUCAGGCCAUGGGCUGGAGGAAAGAUGGUGAUGGGCAAGAGGUGGCAGAAGGCAGUGUGGGUCCCCUGUCUGUCUGCUCAUCUCAGAUCUUCCCCACCUCACUUUUCCUCCUGGCGUUUCUGAGGGUGUCAGGUCAUUCUUCUAUGAGAGUCAGACUGGCCUGAGCCCCACCUCCCAUCUGGAGACUCUGCCAGCACAAGAGGAGAUGGGGCUGGCAGCUCAAGGGGCUCCUCCAGUCUCUGAGACAAGGCCCUGCAGCCUGGGAGGUGGGGCUGGGCUCAGCAACCCCAGCUGGUUUGACUCCAGCCCCUGGAGCUUGCCUGAGUUUCUCCGGGGACCUUAGGACCAACUUCUUCUUUGCACUAUGUUCAUUUUGGGGCUUGGUUCUCAUGCACCCCAGGAUCUCCCGUGAGGUGGCUGCUUGCUUUCUAGGAUGAGGGUUCCUAAGUCUUACACCUAUCUGCCUCUGGAGGAAUAUCCAGCAGGAUGAAUGGCAAGAUGAGGUGCUGCAGCCGUGAUGUCCGUCCAGGCCAAAGCAGGGUGCCCUGGAAUGUCUCCUAGAGUAAACCCAUUCCUCUUCCCCUUCAGGGCGUAUACCUGUCUGCUCACCCCACCUGCUCUUCAGAGUUACGCCCUACAUUGGAGCAGGGGUGAGGAGCAUUGGUGGGACCCUGUGUCUUAUCCACCCCUCUGGCCUAGGGGGGCACUCUGGUUCCGUCAAGGUUGCUUGCCCACCCCCGCUGUUUCAGCAGCUGUCACCUGAUUCGUGGACUCUGCCCUUCCUCUCUGUGCCCUCCGCUGGUGCGGGGGACGCCUGCAUGCCCUGGGGGGGCAGCCAGCCUCACCCCCAGGUCAGGGGGAGCCCCUCAGCCACGUGCUUCGUGCCUCCGAAGCCCCCCGUCCUCACUCCAGGCCUCAGACCUGCCAUCCUUUGUGGAGCUCCCCCUGAUCCCAGCCAAGCCAAACCUGAACUCUGGGGGCAGGGCUGGGCUGCCCCAUAGGACCCUGGGGUCAUGACGCAGAGGGGCAGUGGACAACCCCAGUCCAAAGCCAAGCCAAGACUGGCCGUGGACCCCACCUGACGCCCUGUACUCACGGAGCCGCGCAGUGUCUCCUUAGAAAUAGUCAAAAGCUUUGCUGAGAAAAUAAAGGUAUGACUAUAUUUGACAACAUAAAAUCUAUAUAUUUUUCAGCCCUGGAAUCUAGUCGAGCUGCGUAGCCCCUCUGCUCCUGUCUGCGUCUUGCUGUCUGUGGCCUUCCUACUGUGUCUUGUGUUUUGGUGGACGUGAUCAGGGCCGGGGCCAUGGUCCACGCCGUCCCUAAUUCUGAACACGCCCCUCAGGAAGAGUGUGGAUCAGGUCUGUGGACAAGGGGAGAGGACCUGGUGCCACCCUCUACUCUUGCUCUGGCUGAGACCUGCCUGCCUGGUCAGAGGGGCCCCAGCCCACUCCGGGUCCUCUCUUUUGUGGGGUCUGGUGGGACCUUCGACAGGCUUUGUCUCUUGUCAAUGGAGGAGGCGAACCUUCGGCCCAGGCCCGGGACAGGUGCUGGGACUGUGUCGGCCGGGCUCCAGCUCGUGCCUGUGUGCGUGUGUGUGUGUGUUCGGGAUCCCGCAUCUAUGCAAAAGGGGCAGAGCUGCCUGGGCGACUCCGGCGGUGAGAGGCAGCGGCCCGCCAGCUCAGGCUCCAAGCCCAGACUGCAGGGCCCAGAAUGUGGGGCUGGAGGCAAGGCCAGGGCCCCGGAGCCUCCCGCUGAGUGCUCAUCCUCCAAGGCUCCCCUUUUCCUUCUUGCUUAAUACCUCCUCCUGUUGGGCUGUGACCUUCUCUCCUGCCCUCCGCUUCUAGAGCAGAGAUCUCUGGGGUCUCCCCUCUCCCCAGCCUCUGGCUGGAGCUGAUUAGAUCCUGAGCAACACUGUUCUCAGGAAUCACCUUCUGGAACUGCUGGUCCUUUGGAGCCCCGCUGCCAGGAGUGGCUUCCCCUCAGUUGUGGGGUCCAGGCCAGAGUUGGCCCUGCUGCUCCUCUGGUCCAGACUCAAGCAGGAAUCAGAGUCAGGGGCAGGACUCUGCUCAGAGAGCUGGCCUCAAGUGAAGUUUAUUCCAAAUAUCUCCCAAGGGGGUAACUUAGCUUUUCAAUGAACACCAUUCCCAGCUGCCAGUAGCACCGGGGUGCCUGGCAGCACCUUGGGGCGGGGGCGGCGCAGGAGGCAAGUGACAAGGUUCUAGGGUAAAGGCCUACGGAGGGGCCUCUGCCUAGUGAACUCAUGACCCCUCUGUGACCUAGGGGUCAGUACAAACAACUCAUAGUGCACUGUUAUAUUCAGCCAUGCCCUUGACAGAGAAUUCAGGGGACACAGGAAGGGGGUGGGAGGUAGGGAGGGGUCUUCACUUUUGUCUCCUUUGUCCUUUUGAUCUGACAGAGUUGUACCUACAGCAGAACAGCUCUGAAUUAAAGCAUGAAAACACAACCAGA